GAUGAACGCUGGCGGCGUGCCUAAUACAUGCAAGUCGAGCGAACAGACGAGGAGCUUGCUCCUCUGACGUUAGCGGCGGACGGGUGAGUAACACGUGGAUAACCUACCUAUAAGACUGGGAUAACUUCGGGAAACCGGAGCUAAUACCGGAUAAUAUAUUGAACCGCAUGGUUCAAUAGUGAAAGACGGUUUUGCUGUCACUUCUAGAUGGAUCCGCGCCGCAUUAGCUAGUUGGUAAGGUAACGGCUUACCAAGGCGACGAUGCGUAGCCGACCUGAGAGGGGGAUAGGCCACAGGGGAGGGGGGACGGGGUCAAGAGGACUACGGGAGGGAGCAGUAGGGAAUGGUAGGCAGUGGGCGAAAGCAUGGCGGAGCGGGGGGGAGUGAGAGAUGGAGGUGUUGGGAGCGUAAAACUGGGUUAUGAGGGAAGAACAGAUGUGGAAGGAACUAUGGAGGGAGUGACGGUACCUGGUCAGGAAGCAACGGCUAACUACGUG
rnacentral:rRNA from 1 species